rnacentral:rRNA from 1 species
GACGAACGCUGGCGGCGUGCUUAACACAUGCAAGUCGAACGGAGAUAAUAGUAAUAUUAUCUUAGUGGCGGACGGGUGAGUAACGCGUGGGCAACUUGCCUCAGACUGGGGGAUAACACAGGGAAACUUGUGCUAAUACCGCAUAACAUCAUGAGAUGACAUCUUCUUAUGAUCAAAGGAGAAAUCCGGUUUGAGAUGGGCCCGCGUCCGAUUAGCUAGUUGGUAGUGUAAUGGACUACCAAGGCGACGAUCGGUAGCCGAACUGAGAGGUUGAUCGGCCACAUUGGGACUGAGACACGGCCCAGACUCCUACGGGAGGCAG